CCUAUUUAUUUUAUAAUUUACAAUUGUACGUAGUAAUUUAGAAGGAAUAUAAAAAAGAAGAAAUUGAUAAUUAAUAAAAUAAGUGAAAAUUUUUAAUAAAAUAAAUAAAUAUAAUUUUUUUACUAAUAAAUAUAAUUAUUUGCGUGAACAAAACUAAAAAAAAUAUGAAACAAUAAUAUAAUAACUAAAAGAAUAUAAAACAAUAUGAAAGAAGUAAUAAUUGAUGCGUUUAAAACAAAAAUCUUAGAAUGGACACCAGAAACUCAAUAUGCUUCACUAAUACAUAUCAUUAUUAUUAAUGAGAUAUUUGGUCUACGUAUAUUUGAAUCUAAAGGACGAUUGCGAUAUGACUGGAGUAUAAUAUACGCUAGCAUAUGUAUCAUUUUAUAUGCUACAUAUACAAAUGAAAUAAUAAACAUAAAUUAUAAAAAUUGGCCUGCAUAUCAAGAGAUCAGUUAUAAACUGACUAUAUAUAUUAAUAUUAUAGGCAUCAUAAUUUUUAUAAUUCUUGGAAUGCUGAAUACAGAACGUUCAAGAAAAAUUAUUGCAAAAUGUGAACAAAUAGACAAUAUUUUAAAAUCAUUCGGAGUUGAGAAAAAUUAUAAAAAAACUUUUUUCCAAGUAAUACAAAUAUUAAUUAUAUCUAGCACAAUAAUGAUAAGUAUGAUUUUACUAAAUUGGUUUUAUAUUAUUUCCAAAGAAGAAAGACAAAAAUUCGAUUUAAGUAUUCUCAUAUAUAUAAUAAUAGCAACUAUGUAUUUGGGGAUUUUUACUUUUAUAAUAUUUGUAAGGUAAAUUAUAUAUAAGAGAAAAGUGUUAAUGAAAUUAAAAAUAAUUGAAUAGAAAAAUAUAUAUUUCUGAAUUUAAGAUUAUAUUUUUUUUUCAAAAGUAUGUAAUGAUAUAUUCUAAAUUUCUCAUAACUUAUGGUAAUAUAAUUAUUAAUUGUCAGAUUAUAUAAUUGAUAAAUUUAAGAAAUAUUUAUUUUUCAUGAACAACUUCAUAUUAGUAUUUUAUAUUAAUAUAAAUUUAUGUGUAUUUUUUCCCAAAUAUUCUUAUAUAUAGAAUAUAAGAAUAAUAGAAUAUAAAAAGUAUGUGUAAAGAAUAUGAUGAUUAUAACGUGAUUUUAUAUCUUUGAAUCAAUGAGAAUUUGAUAAAUAAAAAUGCACGCAAAAAUUUUGAUAAAAUCAUUUUCAUAUACUUUUUAUUGAUCUUUAUGAAAUUAUAAAAUUAUGUUAUAAUGUAUUUUAUAUUUAUUAUUUAUAUAUUUCAUAAAGUACUAUGAGUAAUUAUGAAAUUACUUAUAUUAUUACAAUUUUUAUAAAAAUGAUAGAAAACUUAUUUAUCUAUUUCUGUAUUUCGGUACAAAAAAAAAUGAAGAAAAGAAAUAUGGAAAUAAGGAAAUAAUAUUUUUUUCUUUUAAAUGAAAAAGAAAUAUUCUUUGCCUUUUCUAUGCCUUUUAGAUUGUAAUAAGGUCAAUAUGUAAUUUUAAUUUUUACAUUUAACAUUCAUUAAUUUUUUUUCUAUUUUUCAUCAUUUAUGAUCAAAUAACCACAAAUAUUAAUAAUUAAAUUAUUUAAAUUAUUUAAAUUUUAAAUCUCCAUUCAAUAUCAUAUGUAUAUACAUAAUUAAUAUAACAUAAAAUUUUAAUAUGAAUAUUUUUUAUGAUGAAUAUUUUUAAAUGAAGUACUCUUCGAAUUAAUGAAACUAACAGUGGUUUUAUAUUAUUUAUAGACUAUAUUAUAUAAUGAUAAUAAUUAUAUAAAAAAAAUUUUUAUGAUAAAAGAGAUAACAAAAUCUACUAAAUCGAACCGAAAUCGUAACUAUAGUAAAAUUUUAUUGUAUUAUCUUUUAUCGUGUUGCUAAUGUAAAGAAUUUAUUAAUCGUCAAAAAAAAAAAUAAUCUAAUUGAAAAUGAAUCAAUAUGUAUCAAUAAUUGAAUCCAAAUUAUUUAAUUAUAGAUUUUUCUAGUCUUCAAUAUAUAAUUAAAAAUAAAAUUAUCAAAAUUAAAAUUGUAUUUAAUAAUAAAUAUUAAAUAUAAAGAUAUUAAAAUUAUAUUUUUAGGUUACAUUUUCAUAUAUACUAAAAUAUAAUUUAAAAAAAAUUUUUUUUUUCAAAUUUAAAAAAAUUUUGUUCAUUUUAUUUCCUAAUUUUCUUUUAUAUUAUAUUCUAGAAAUAUAUGAGAUUUUUUGUUUCAUUCUUGAAAAUUAUAAAAAUAUAAAUUAAUUUAAAACAUUAGUUAUAUUUUUUUUAUAGUACUAAUCAUAUUUAAAUUAUCAUGUUUCAAUCAUUAUUAUUUUCAAAAUUAUAUUAUUUUUAAUAAUAUUUUUUUAAAGUAUUUUACAGGACAAAUUGCAUAAGAUGAACAAGGUUAUGAAAGAAGUGUAUGAGCUAUCAAAUACGAAAGAUAUUGAUAUAAGAUAUGAGAUACAAUUACAUAUUGCACAUAAAUUUAUAAUUAUAAUGGAUUAUUAUAAUAGAAAACAUUUUGUUCAACAUUUUCUUCAAGUUAUAAGGUGAAAUCACAACAAUGUAUAGAAUUUUAUAAUAUUAUUGAAUUAAGAAACUUCAAAGAGUGGAAUGAUUCCAGAUAUUUUUAAUGUCUUGAAUGUAUUUACAAAUAAUUGUAACAUGUAUAUCAAACUAAUUUAUUUUCUUAUUGAAAGUGAU